rnacentral:rRNA from 1 species
UGGCGGACGGGUGAGUAACGCGUGGGUAACCUGCCUUGCACUGGGGGAUAACACUUAGAAAUAGGUGCUAAUACCGCAUAAGCGCACGGUCCUGCAUGGGACAGUGUGAAAAACUCCGGUGGUGCAGGAUGGACCCGCGUCUGAUUAGCUGGUUGGCGGGGUAAAGGCCCACCAAGGCGACGAUCAGUAGCCGGCCUGAGAGGGUGGACGGCCACAUUGGGACUGAGACACGGCCCAAACUCCUACGGAAGGCAGCAG